AGCUCAGUCGGUAGAGCAGCACCAUGGUAAGGUGAAGGUCGACAGUUCGAUUCUGUUC
rnacentral:tRNA from 1 species